UACGGAGGGAGCUAGCGUUGUUCGGAAUUACUGGGCGUAAAGCGCACGCAGGUGGCUGAGUCAGUCGAUUGUGAAAGCCCUGGGCUUAACCUGGGAAUUGCAGUCGAUACUACUUAGCUAGAGUAUGGGAGAGGGCAGUGGAAUUCCCGGUGUAGCGGUGAAAUGCGUAGAUAUCGGGAGGAACAUCAGUGGCGAAGGCGGCUGCCUGGCCCAAUACUGACACUCAGGUGCGAAAGCGUGGGGAGCAAACAGG
rnacentral:rRNA from 1 species